GACGAACCGUACGAACGUUAUUCGGAAUCACUGGGCUUAAAGGGUGCGUAGGCGGCGCGGAAAGUUGGGUGUGAAAUCCCUCGGCUCAACCGAGGAACUGCGCUCAAAACUACCGUGCUCGAGGGAGACAGAGGUGAGCGGAACUUAGGGUGGAGCGGUGAAAUGCGUUGAUAUCCUAAGGAACACCGGUGGCGAAAGCGGCUCACUGGGUCUCUUCUGACGCUGAGGCACGAAAGCUAGGGUAGCGAACGGG
rnacentral:rRNA from 1 species